UUUAUUCUUAGAUUAUGUGGAUUUUGCCUGUCUGCAAGCCUGUAGAACAUGGAUUAGUGCUGGCAGAUCCACUGGAGUUGGAGUCGUGGGCUGCCAUGAGGUGCUCGAAGAGCAGCAGUGGCGUGUGGCCACUACACUAUCUCUUCAUUCUUGACUAGACUCUGACAGAAUUCUUAGAACUUACUGAAAGCAACAAAAGACAAAAAAACAAACAAAACAACCCAAACCCAAAAAACAUACUGAGCCUUAAAAUGGUUUCUGUUGACAAUCUAGGUUAUACUAGGAUACUGGUCCUACUUCUGUUGUUCAUUUGCUCCAGAAUCAUUUUUUUGAUGUCUAGGACACUCUCAAAAUUCCACCUUUCUUUCAGCCUUCACUGAUGUUGGGGGUGGAUGUGCUGUGUCUCUGUAUCAGGUUCCAGAUGAUGAGGAUAAGCCCACAGGGCUCCUGUCUCUGGAAGAAGGUAGGCUUGGCUGACCAUCCACAGAAGUCAGGACUCAGAGACUCUGGCACCGUUUCCACUACGCAUUCACCCUGGCCUGGCACAGGUGCUGCACUUCAGAUCGUGGACACCACGUAUGCGCCAUUAAUGAAUUUUCAAUUUUGUAUUUGGUGACAGGGUCUUGCUAUAGAGCUCAAGAUAGCUCAGAACUCACGAUCUUCUUUGCAACCCCAAGUGCUGGGCUUACAGCUGUGUGCCAACAUACAGUCUUCUGUUGCUCCUGUGGUUUAGAGCCUGGAGAGUUGGACAAAGAAUAGCUAAACAGGCGGCCAUCAUGGCUGGGGCUUGGACAGUGACUGCUUCCCAAGGAGGACGGAAGAAGAGAAAUCUGUGGACCAUUAACACCCAGUCCACCAAACUCUUUACAUCUUCUCAUGGUCUGCCGCUGCUAAGCUUUGAUGCACCUCUCAGGCACUUCUCCAGCACCCUGUGUGCCACCAUGUUCUACUCCAUGAUGACAAUGGGCUGAACUUCUAAAACUGUAAGCAAUUUCCCAAU